CUUCUUUACUCUAUUUAUUAGGAUUUAUAACCAAGCUGCAAUUGCUGUUCAUUUCUGGGCUGCCAAACUGGAUUUACUGUAUAAUACAUUAUUAUUCACUGAGUACAAGAAAUUUCAUUUAAACUUUUCCAACAAAGGGGAUGGGUAAACACGAAAAUCAAAGAGCCUUUUGCAUGACAAAAUGAAGGACUUAAAUCCAGGCUGCAAUGGCUGCACGUUUCUGGGAUGCUGUGCUGAAGUUGAAGUUUAUGUCUCUGAUUGGAAUGAUCUCGUUAUCCUCCCUCU